rnacentral:lncRNA from 1 species
GGGCCUUGUGCUUUAUAGGAAGCUAGGGAUUUGUAGAGGAAGAGAUGAAGACUGAUUGAUGUUGUAGUUUAGUCAUUUCACUUGUAUCUGACUAUUUGUGAUCCCAUCAGUUUUGUUGGCAGAGAUAGUGAAGUGGUUUGCCAUUUCCUUCUCCAGCUCAUGAGGCAACUGAGGCAAACAGGAUUAAGUGACUUGCCCAGGACCAUACAGAUAGUAUUUGAGGCCAGAUUUGCAAUCAGGAAGAUGAAUCAAGAAGAUAGAGUGCCUCAAACAUAGGGGGUGGCAUUUGUGCCUUUCUACGAAGGCAGGAGACAGACUAUCAUCUAUGGGGAACAUCUAGCAGGCCAGUUUGACUGAAACAGGAGAAACACAAGAAAGGGCUAGAAGGGUAGAUGGACAGCAGAUUGUAUGUGCUCAAUAAAUAUUUCUUGCAUGAAUGGAUGAACAGGAUGAGACUUCUGUCUAACUGGGUCGGGGGCAGAGGAAUGGAAAUCACCUCUAGCAAAGGCUCUUUCAGCCCAAGAAGUAGAUGAUACCAUUUUGUGACAUCCCAGGGUUAGAAUCCAUACCUAACAGCAUCCUGAUGGUAACUGGAGAAGAUAUUCUAAGCCACUGCACCCCAUACAUGAGAGAGGACACAGCAGCAUGCAAAUAAUAAUAGCCCACAUCUAUGUUGUAUUGGAAGGCGAUUCAGAGGGAUCAGGGGAGACCCCAACUCAUAGGUCCUGGACUCAAAGCAUCCUAGAUCUGGAGUCAGAAGAGAUCUUAAAAGCCAUAUAUACGAGCAAAGGAUCAUAGUUUCAAAAGGCAGAAAGACCCUCAGAGAUCUAGUGCCCUCUUUUUGCAGAUGGAGAAACUGAGGACCAAAGAUGUUAAAGGACUUCUUUCUUAAAGUUGUACAUAUAGUAAAAAGGAGAGUUAGGAUUUGAAUCCAAGUCCUCUGACUCCACAGCCACAUUGCCUGAUCAUUGGUAGGUCUAAGAUAAUACUUUAUUUAUUUCUGUCAACAGAUAAGUGCUU